CUUAAAGCAUCUGUCUCGUAUUUAGCAAAGUAAGCACAGCUGCAACAGCAUCGCCAAAGUCCUCAACUAGUAAACGAACCACUUACCUUCGUGCUUCCACCUUGAAAAUACACACGUCGCAGUGUUUCUGAGAUACUGUCGCAGAGAACAAGCUGUAAAGUCUCGAGAAUGACGAAGGAAAAAAAGCGGGGUUGUUAGUUUUAGCUAGUUGUUUCUGAAAUGGUUAGUAUUCCCAGAGCGCCAGCGUAGCGAAAAGACGCCCCUCACUGUUGUGACAGGACUGAAGCUGGUUAGACUAAAAUCACAACACCUCGGCUGCAGCUCAGACCACGCCCCGUAGUGCUGUUUGACAGGGAUUCAAACCAAUCAACGAGUGAAGUUAGGAUGAGGUUGCCUUCGAUUGGCCAAUGGAGCAGUUUUUUUGCGCUACGCCCCGCCCCUGUAAUGCUCACUUUUCUCCCAGAUGUUGAAUGCCUCAGCACCAGGGUCCCCAUACAGUUUAGCCAGCCAAUCAGAGCGCGAGAUACGGGGUUUAAACGCAGAUAAUUUAACUUUAUGGGAGGAGUUGAAUCUAUUUAAACCAAUGUGAAAGUACUUUAGCCGCACUAUUAUCUUGCACAUUAGCCCGCACUAUAGGGUAUUAUAAAAUGUUUGUUAGAGAAUUAUUUUUCUGAAUUCAGUUUUUUUUUUUUACAAUUUAUAAUAAAGCAUCUUAUAACAGAAACAAAAUUUAGUAUAGUCAUGCUAGUGGAUUCGACUAAUCUCUGCUGUUUGUACAGAAUAUACAUGUAUGAGUGAAUAUUGUUAGUGUAAGAGCCGUUCAUUACAGUAAUUAUCAGUAAUUGAUAUUAUACAUGAAGUGUUAGAAAUAUAAAAUUUUAGAAAACAAUGAAAAUACUCUUCUUUACGUCCUACAAAAGCUCUUUAUACAGUUUCUUAUUUUGCCCUGCUAACACUCUUAAACCUUAAGAUAUUCAGCUUAAAUGGCUAUAAAGCAGAGGAUAAAAUCAGUUGUAGAUGCUGGAACUAACUAAAAGACUUUCAGAUCAUUUUGGUUUGUGUUCCACAAAUACUAUAAUUUCAUACAUAACACAUUCACAUUUCCAUAGGGGAUGCUACA
ensembl:lncRNA